CACUCUCCUCAUGCUAAGCGGAUCGUAUGCAGUCAGGCGGUUAACAGGCGAAAACCGAUGUUAAUUAUCUGAGUAAAACUAUAGCAUGAUGUCAAAAACACAGUAUUGUAUAAAGUUGAAAAUGUGCAAAAGUUGCCAUAGUGGAGUAUGGUGUCAAACAAAGUGCUAUAAUAAUUCAUAAUAUAGUAUGAUGUUGAAGAAAUAUACUGUUAGUACGACGUUCUAUACUUUGACAAAAAUUAGUUAAAGUAUAGAACGUCAUCAAAAAAGUGCAAAAAUGACACGUAGGUUAGUAUGACGUAGAAAAAGUGCAAAAAUGGCACGUAGUACAAUAUGAUGUCGGAAAUUUGAAAAAUUAGUCAUACUAUAGUGUACGGAAAAUGCAAAACUGAGUCGUAGUACAGUAUAGUACAGUAUAGCGUCAAAUAAAGUGCAUAAAUGAUACUAUAACUAUACUAUAACUCAUUUUUGCAUAUUCCAAGUUGACAAGUUUUUGCACAUUUUUGAGGUCAGUUGAGCUGCAAAGUAUUACAGCUCAACUGCUGACUGUUAUCGUUCCAGUCUCUGUGUGAAGGUGUUGCAAUGUGUGCUGUACUUUUGAGCAAGGCAGAUAAACUGAUUCAGUAGAUUGAUAAAGCGUGAACUUGUUUCUGUGUGAAGUUACAGAUGUGUUGCUGGUAGAAACAUGGAGAAACCAAAAUCCUCAGACAGAGCAGAGCUGGAAGAGACAACAGGCCUGGUGGAGGAUGGUGAUUUGCCUCAAGGUGCCGAAGGU